rnacentral:rRNA from 1 species
CCUACGGGUGGCAGCAGUGAGGAAUAUUGGUCAAUGGACGAGAGUCUGAACCAGCCAAGUAGCGUGAAGGAUGACUGCCCUACGGAUUGUAAGCUUCUUUUAUAAGGGAAUAAAGUGAGGCACGUGUGCCUUUUUCUCUGUCCUUUAUCAUUAAGGAUCGGCUAACUCCGUGCCAGCAGCCGCGGUAAUACGGAGGAUCCGAGCGUUAUCCGGAUUUAGUGGGUUUAAAGGGAGCGUAGAUGGGUUGUUAAGUCAGUUGUGAAAGUUUGCGGCGCAACCGUAAAAUUGCAAUUGAUACUGGCAGCCUUGAGGACAGUUGAGGUAGGCGGAAUUCGUGGUGUAGCGGUGAAAUGCGUAGAUAUCACGAAGAACUCCGAUGGCGAAGGCAGCUUACUAAACUGCCACUGACAUUGAUGCUCGAAAGUGUGGGUAGCAAACAGGAUUAGAUACCCGGGUAGUC